UUCUGAAAGUUGUUGGUUUAAAUCAGUUUCAGAAUAGGAGCUAAAGAUUAUAAUUGCAACAAAAAAAGAAUAGAAAUAGCCCGCGAUUAAAAUAAGAAGGAAGAACAUAAAAGCUUAUCACAUCAAAGUGGUCUAGCAUCUCCAAAUAAGCUAAGGAUCUUUAUUUUCAUAAUGGGAACACCAGCAGAUAAAAGUUAGAUGAAAUUGUUCCGAUUUGGUCCAGAGUAUAUUCAAGGAGUCCGAGAUUUCUUGAAUUUUGCAAGAGAUUUUGCUGAUUCAAAUGGCAGAAUUCGAUGUCCAUGCAAACAUUGCAGCAAUUUCUAUUGGAAGCCAUUUCAAGAAGUGAAGAGAGAUCUAUUUCAACAUGGAAUUCUUGAGAACUAUACAGAAUGGGUGUAUCAUGGUGAGACUUCUCAACCUGAUACAGUUGAUAAUCUUGCUAGUUUGGAUAACUUUGAUAAUUCUGUGAAUGAAGUGGAGAAUAAUACUAACGAUGUUUCAGAAAUGUUAGAUGAUAUGUGUAAUGCUACUUUUAUGGAAACUGAAACUAACAUAGAGACACCUGAUAAUCAAGAGAAUAGCAUGCUAGAAGGGGAAGUAGAAAAGUUUGCUAAAUUAUGGAAUGAUUCUCAUUGUGAACUAUAUCCAGGUAGUCAAAAAUAUUCGAAGCUAUCUUUUCUCCUUAAGAUGAUAAAUAUUAAAGCACUUACUAAUUCUAGUAAUAAGUCAUUUAGUCUAAAUUUGGAGUUAUUUAAAGAUGCAUUUCCAAAAGGUGAAACACUUCCAAGUUCAAAUUAUGAGGUUAAGAAAUUGAUGCGUGAUCUAGGGCUUGGUUACAUAACGAUUGAUGCUUGUAUAAAUGAUUGUGUACUAUUUUGGAAGGAAAAUGAAAAUCUUGACAGGUGUCCUAAUCCAGAUUGUAAGGAUCCUAGAUGAAAAGUAGGUUUGGGAAAACGAAAAAAGAUUGCUCAAAAAGUUCUUAGACCCUUUCCCUUAAUACCUAGACUUCAAAGAUUAUUUAUGUCUAAAGAUAUUGGUGAAGAUAUGAGGUGGCAUAAGGAGAAACGUGUAGAUGAUGAGACGAUUAGAUAUCCAGCUGAUGCUAAGGAAUGGAAAGAUUUUGACAAGCAGCAUGAUUGGUUUGCCAAAGAUGCUCGUAACGUGCGACUUGGGCUUGCUAGUGAUGGUUUUAAUCCUUUUGGAAAUAUGAGCACGAAUUAUAGCAUGUGGCCAGUGAUUGUGACGCCAUAUAAUUUACCACCAUGGAAAUGCAUGAAGGAGAAUUUUUUGAUGUUAUCUCUGCUUAUCCCAGGUAAGGAUUCUCCCGAAAAUAAUAUAGAUGUAUACUUAAGACCAUUAAUUGAUGAGUUGAAAGAAUUAUGGGAGACUGGUGUGCCAACAUAUGAUGAACAUAGCGGUAAAAGUUUUCGAUUGCAUGCUGCAUUAUUAUGGACAAUAAAUGACUUUCCAGCAUAUGGAAUGUUAUCUGGAUGGAGCACCAUAGGAAAAUUAGCGUGCCCUGUGUGUAAUAAGUGGACAUGUUCGCUAAUUUUGAAAAAUGGAGGGAAGCAAUGUUAUAUGGGCCAUCGUAGAUAUUUACAUGCCUAACAUUCUUGGAGAAAAAGCAGAAAGUUUGAUGGCAAAUCUGAGCAUCGUUUAGAGCCUGGCGAGUUGACAGGAGAUGAAGUUUUAAGGCAAUUAGAAUCUCUUCCCAAAGAUCUGCUAUUUGGGAAGACUCCUAACAAAAACAAGCGUGCACGUAAUCAUGAAGAACUUAAUUGGACAAAUCGGAGUAUAUUCUUUGAAUUGCCUUACUGGAAAACAUUAAAAUUACGUCAUAAUUUAGAUGUAAUGCAUAUCGAGAAAAAUAUAUGUGAAAAUAUCCUGGGGACUUUGAUGAAUAUUGAUGGAAAAUCAAAGGAUAAUGUUAAGGCUCGGAUGGAUUUAGAAGCUAUGGGUAUAAGAAAAGAGUUACAUUUACAACCAAAAGGUAAUAAAUUUCAAAUGCCACUUGCUUGUUAUACAUUACCGACACAAGAGAGGAGAAAGUUUUGUGAAUGGAUGAAAUCAAUCAAGUUGCCAGACGGAUAUGCUUCAAACCUUUCUCGAUGUGUAAAUGUUCAGGAUUGUAAAGUUUCGGGAAUGAAAAGCCAUGAUUAUCAUGUAUUCAUGCAACGGUUGCUUCCGGCAUCAAUUUAUGGGUCUUUGCGCAAUGAGGUUUGCACUGCAUUAUCAGAAUUGAGUUCUUUCUUUAAGGAGCUGUGUUCAAAGACUUUGAAAAGAUCUACAGUAAAAAAAUUGCAGAACGACAUUAUUUUGAUAAUAUGCAAACUUGAGAUGAUAUAUUCUCCAUCUUUUUUUGUGAUAAUGAUGCAUCUUGCAAUUCAUCUACCACGUGAAGUAGAAUUAGGAGGCCCGGUUCACUAUCGGUGGAUGUACUUUAUUGAGAGAUUCUUGCGUACUUUAAAAAAAUUUGUACGUAAUGUAGCUCGACCAGAGGGUUCAAUUGCUGAAGCAUAUAUCACCAAGGAAUGUCUAAACUUUUGCUCACUGUAUUUUCAUGGAGUGGAGACAAGAUAUAAUCGAGUUGAGAGAAAUUAUGACGUGGCUGUGCAAGUAGGGGUGUAAAAUGGAUUUUCCAUAUUUUCCCACAAUGCAAGACCAUUAGGGGCUGUGAUGUAUGAAAUGUUAUCAUAUUCUGAUUUUGAAAAUAUUCAGUGGUAUGUGCUUAACAAUUGUGAGGAUAUAGAUGAAUAUUUAAAGAUUCACAUCGAAGAAUUACAAAAGGAAAAUCUUGUUGAUGUGCAAAAAAGGAACGAAGAAGAAUUUGCCUCUUAGUUCAAGGAGUAUGUUGGAGACCUACGUGUUAAUGGUUUGGUAACAUUAACAGAUCAUUUAUAUGUGUUAGGAUUAGGUCCUGAUAUACGAGUUUCCAAAUAUAGUGGUAUAAUUGUGAAUGGAGUUAGAUUUCACACAGUUGAACGUGAUAAUUUUCGUCGGACUCAAAAUAGUGGUGUCACAGUUAAGGGAGAGCAUAAUUUGAAAUCAUGUUUUUUUGUUUAAAUGUGAUUGGUGGGAUGUUGGGGAUAAAAAAAAUGGGAUUAACACAUAUGGAAAUUUAGUUACCGUUAACACGAGUCGUAAAUGGUACAAAAAUGAUCCUUUUGUGCUGGUAUCUCAAGUAAAUCAAGUUUUUUAUGUCAAUGAUAUUAAAAAUGGGAGUUCUUGGAAAGUUGUGCAAAAGACCAAUCCUAGAAAUAUAUAUGAUGUUCCAGAGAAGGAUGAAACGUGCAAUGAAGAUUCAAUUUUAAAUGAUGAGCCUUAUCAACAAUAUGAGGCAGAUUAUAAUCAUGAAAUCAACCAACUUUAUAGUGAAGACUUAGAAUCACUGCACCAUAUCGAUGUAUUCUCAGAUGAAGUUGAUGCUAGUGAGGUGUUUCAAAUUCGAAAAUCAAAUUCAAUCAAUGAUCAUCAUAACAAAGAUUCUAGUGAUGAAGAAGAUGAUACCAUGAUUAAUUAUGACAAUGUUGAUAGUGAUGAAAAUGAAGAUUCAAAUGUUAGUGAAAGUGAAGAUGAAGAUGAAGAUGAUGAGUACUGAAAUAGUGGUGCCAAAAAGGUUGAUUCAGCUUGGCUGCAUUGCUAUUGUUUCACAAGCUCUGGGUUUCACUUCUAUUUUUCUGGAAACUUGGUGAAAGGAUGAGAGAUGCACUCCUAGUUACACCGAAGUCUUAUGCCUUUGUUUAAGACGGCGAGAAUGGUCAUUAAUGAGAAUAAAAAUUCUUAAUAAUGUAGUGAUGUGAAAAAAAUAGAUUCAUUUGAUAACGAAUUGUUGAAAUGGUUUGACAUUAAAAAUGUGUUAUAUGAGCUGUUGGUUAUAGGAUAGUUUUGAAUUGUUAGUUAAUUCCUUGUAGCCUUACUAGUUUAAUAUAGCAAUAGUCAAUUUUUAUCAGGUGAUGUUAAAAUUCAAACCUAUUCUGAGAACGAUAAUACUCUUUUAA